AUGGAGGGGCUCUGCUUA
rnacentral:misc_RNA from 1 species